UGAGGAAUACAUCGGAAUCUACUUUUUCGUGGGGGAUAACGUAGGGAAACUUACGCUAAUACCGCAUACGACCUUCGGGUGAAAGCAGGGGACCUUCGGGCCUUGCGCGAUUGAAUGAGCCGAUGUCGGAUUAGCUAGUUGGCGGGGUAAAGGCCCACCAAGGCGACGAUCCGUAGCUGGUCUGAGAGGAUGAUCAGCCACACUGGAACUGAGACACGGUCCAGACUCCUACGGGAGGCAGCAGUGGGGAAUAUUGGACAAUGGGCGCAAGCCUGAUCCAGCCAUACCGCGUGGGUGAAGAAGGCCUUCGGGUUGUAAAGCCCUUUUGUUGGGAAAGAAAAGCAGCGGGCUAAUACCUUGCUGUUCUGACGGUACCCAAAGAAUAAGCACCGGCUAACUUCGUGCCAGCAGCCGCGGUAAUACGAAGGGUGCAAGCGUUACUCGGAAUUACUGGGCGUAAAGCGUGCGUAGGUGGUCGUUUAAGUCUGUUGUGAAAGCCCUGGG
rnacentral:rRNA from 1 species